GCCCAAUCUACAGUUUUUAUUCUGAGUCAUCUAAGUAUAGCCAACUCCUUGGUCAUUUUCUCUGAAGAAUUUUGGAAAUUUUGGCAACUUGUGGAUUAAAACAUUUCCUAUUAUUUUGCAUGCAAGCUUGUUUACUGUGUUCACAGUCAUGGGACAAUAAACAUCACCUGCCCAUUUACUGUCUAUCAUACCAUUACCAUCAGCACCAGAAACUCCAGGUGCCCCAAGCUUAGAAGCCCUAAACUACAUUGGCUCCUCUCAUACACUGUGCUGUGUCCAGAACAUGCUGUUAAAUAUCAGAGUACCUAUGGUUGUGUUGUGGCUGAAAAAUAAUGCGAAAAAAACAGCACAAAAACCAUAUAUUUUGGAUACUAUUCAGCAAAAUUAAUGAUGAAGACACAAUAUUUGAAACAUUGUUAUCCUUCUAUAAUGUUUUAAAAAUACA
rnacentral:lncRNA from 10 species